rnacentral:tmRNA from 1 species
GGGGCUGAUUCUGGAUUCGACGGGAUUUGCGAAACCCAAGGUGCAUGCCGAGGGGCGGUUGGCCUCGUAAAAAGCCGCAAAAAAUAGUCGCAAACGACGAAAACUACGCUUUAGCAGCUUAAUAACCUGCUUAGAGCCCUCUCUCCCUAGCCUCCGCUCUUAGGACGGGGAUCAAGAGAGGUCAAACCCAAAAGCGAUCGCGUGGAAGCCCUGCCUGGGGUUGAAGCGUUAAAACUUAAUCAGGCUAGUUUGUUAGUGGCGUGUCCGUCCGCAGCUGGCAAGCGAAUGUAAAGACUGACUAAGCAUGUAGUACCGAGGAUGUAGGAAUUUCGGACGCGGGUUCAACUCCCGCCAGCUCCACCA